rnacentral:rRNA from 1 species
GAUGAACGCUGGCGGCGUGCCUAAUACAUGCAAGUCGAGCGAACGGACGAGAAGCUUGCUUCUCUGAUGUUAGCGGCGGACGGGUGAGUAAUACGUGGAUAACCUACCUAUAAGACUGGGAUAACUUCGGGAAACCGGAGCUACUACCGGAUGAUAUUUUGAACCGCAUGGUUCAAGAGUGCAAGACGGUCUUGCUGUCACUUAUAGAUGGAUCCGCGCUGCAUUAGCUAGUUGGUAAGGUAACGGCUUACCAAGGCAACGAUGCAUAGCCGACCUGAGAGGGUGAUCGGCCACAUGGGAACUGAGACACGGUCCAGAGUCCUACGGGAGGCAGCAGUAGGGAAUAUUCCGCAAUGGGCGAAAGCCUGACGGAGCAACGCCGCGUGAGUGAUGAAGGUCUUCGGAUCGUAAAGCUCUGUUAUUAGGGAAGAACAUAUGUGUCAGUAACUGUGCACGUCUUGACGGUACCUAAUCAGAAAGCCACGGCUAACUACGUG